rnacentral:rRNA from 1 species
AGAGUUUGAUCCUGGCUCAGAAUCAACGCUGGCGGCGUGCCUAACACAUGCAAGUCGAACGAAAAAUUGGAGCAAUCCAUGAGUAAAGUGGCGACCGGGUGAGUAACACGUGACCAAUCUACCCUUGAGUGGGGGAUAACCUCGGGAAACCGGGGCUAAUACCGCAUAAUAUCUUCUGAUCGCAAGAACUGAACAUCAAAGGAGCGAUUCGCUUAAGGAGGAGGUCGCGGCUGAUUAGCUAGAUGGCGGGGUAAUGGCCCACCAAGGUAAAGAUCGGUGGCCGGGCUGAGAGGGCGCACGGCCACCCUGGAACUGAAACACGGUCCAUACUCCUACGGGAGGCAGCAGUGGGGAAUUUUGCGCAAUGGGGGAAACCCUGACGCAGCAACGCCGCGUGGAGGAUGAAGUCCCUUGGGACGUAAACUCCUUUCGACCCGGACGAUAAUGACGGUACGGGUGGAAGAAGCCCCGGCUAACUUCGUGCCAGCAGCCGCGGUAAUAGGAGGGGGGCAAGCGUUGUUCGGAAUUAUUGGGCGUAAAGGGCGCGUAGGCGGUGCGGUAAGUCACCUGUGAAACCUCUAGGCUUAACCUAUAGCCUGCAGGCGAAACUGCCGUGCUUGAUGGUGGGAGAGGUGCGUGAAAUUCCCGGUGUAGCGGUGAAAUGCGUAGAUAUCGUGAGGAACACCUGUGGCGAAAGCGGCGCACUGUACCACUUCUGACGCUGAUGCGCCAAAGCUAGGGGAGCACACAGGAUUAGAUACCUUGGUGUCCUAGCCCUAAACGAUGGAUGCUUGGUGUGAUCGGUACACAUCCCAUCGUGCCGUAACUGACGCGUUGUCAUCCCGCCAGGGGAGUACGGACGCGAGGAUGAAACUCAACGGAAUUGACG